ACAAUGAUUUCCCUAGUAACGGCGAGUGAAGAGGAAAGAGCUCAAAGUUGGAACCUGUUUGGCUUAGCUAAACCGGAUUGUAAACUGUAGAAGUGUUUUCCAGACACGCCUGGUAAAAAAGUCCUUUGGAACAGGGCAUCAUAGAGGGUGAGAAUCCCGUCUUUGGCCAGAGCUGUUGUCUUUUGUGAUACAUUUUCAAAGAGUCAGGUUGUUUGGGAAUGCAGCCUAAAUUGGGUGGUAAAUCUCACCUAAAGCUAAAUAUUUGCGAGAGACCGAUAGCGAACAAGUACCGUGAGGGAAAGAUGAAAAGAACUUUGAAAAGAGAGUUAAACAGUAUGUGAAAUUGUUAAAAGGGAACCGUUUGGAGCCAGACUGGCUUGAUCGUAAUCAAUCUAAGCUUCGGCUUGGAUGCACUUGCGGUCUUUGCCUGCCAACGACAAUUUUUUUUGGAGGAAAAAACUAGGUGAAAUGUGGCCCCUCGGGGUGUUAUAGUCUCUUAGAAAAUACUCUGAAUUGGAUUGAGGAACGCAGUGAAUGCCUUUAGGCAAGAUUGCUGGGCGCUUUCGCUGAUAGGUGUUAGAAUUUCUGCCUUGGGUGGUGCUAAUAGUUAAAGGAGAAACUCGCUUAGUAUAUUUUUUAUUCGCUUAGGUUGUUGGCUUAAUGACUCUAAUGAC
rnacentral:rRNA from 1 species